GGAUGAGUCUAGGUCAAUUAGGAUUUAUUUAUGUUUGAUUGGUUGUUGCUUGUAUCCUCUGUUUCUUGAAAAUGCAUUGAAUAUGUUUAUGUUUUAAAUACUAGCUCACCCUUGCAAUGUAUGUGUGUAUUUUGCAUGUUUCUGGUCUUCCCUUCUUGCGAUGAUCAUCCUACUUUUGGAUGUGAGCAGAACCAGUAGAUGACACGCCUUUGGAGCAAGCUCUGGACAGUGGAGAUGUAGCUCCCACCUCUUAGAUUUACUUUCAAUUUCUUUAUCUUAUUCCAUUUUGAAAGACUUUAUAUAUGUAAAGCUUUUAAC
rnacentral:lncRNA from 1 species